rnacentral:rRNA from 1 species
GGGGCUAAUGCAGGAUAACAUGUUGAACCGCAUGGUUCUACAGUGAAAGGCGGCUUUGCUGUCACUUAUAGAUGGACCCGCGCCGUAUUAGCUAGUUGGUGAGGUAACGGCUCACCAAGGCAACGAUACGUAGCCGACCUGAGAGGGUGAUCGGCCACACUGGAACUGAGACACGGUCCAG